rnacentral:rRNA from 1 species
UACGUAGGGUGCGAGCGUUGUCCGGAAUUAUUGGGCGUAAAGAGCUUGUAGGCGGUUUGUCGCGUCUGCCGUGAAAGCCCAGGGCUUAACCCUGGGUCUGCGGUGGGUACGGGCAGACUAGAGUGUGGUAGGGGAGACUGGAAUUCCUGGUGUAGCGGUGAAAUGCGCAGAUAUCAGGAGGAACACCGAUGGCGAAGGCAGGUCUCUGGGCCACUACUGACGCUGAGAAGCGAAAGCGUGGGGAGCGAACAGG